rnacentral:lncRNA from 1 species
GUUUUAUAGUCCGAGCGCCGCGCCUAUUAGUAGUAUAUCCGAGAUUGGGUUUUAGCUGAGGGGGGAUGGCGAGGUGCCAGUGAGGGCCAGAAGGAAAUACAACCAUCUGAUCCAACACUGACCAAUGGCAGAGGCAGGAAUUGUCAAAUAGCACCCAGGAGGAGCGCAGCCCGCACGAGGGACCCGCGCACAAACCUAUCAACCUUUUUUUUUUUCCUCCUUCUCCUUCGCCUUUCUCCUCUCUCCCCCCAACAACACAACGCGUCCUGUUCCACCUACGUAGGAUCUGUGAAACAGGCUCAGUGCCUUUGAGGGAGGAGGGAACGUUUAGAUUGAGACCACCCCACUCCCGGGUGAUUAAAUAAAUAUGUCUCUCCCCCACCCCACGCAGGAUUGGAAAAAGUUAAUUGUGUUUUCAGAAAAGUUAACCCCUGCGUUGCUUCGACCCCUUCUCUCCGGGGAGGGUUGGGUAAAUGUCUCCGAAUCGCCUUGAGAGAGAACUAAAGAAGGUUUGUUUCUAGGGUUUUGUGUCGGUAGAAGGUGAGAAGAGUUCUCCGCUAAGAUAAGCAAAGAAGAAACACCCUCCUCCCCAGGUUUUGAACAUCGUUUUUCCUGUUUAUCAGAUCUGCUCUGUCUCCUCCAAGCCUCGGCUUAUUGUUCCUGCUUCUCCACAACCCUUCUGGUCUGAGGGGGCAGGCCAGAUCCCACUGCCUAGAAGACCCAGAAGAGGAGGAGCUGGCAGGAGGGACUGAGCCCAAGCUUCCCCUUCUGACUCUGUGGCUAGACUAGGAGCUUCUUGGAAGGCGGCGACGAGGGUGGCUGCCCAAAACAUUCUGCCUGGUUCUAGUAUGCAGCUGCUCACCCUUGGCAGGGGAAGGGGCACUGGGGAAAGGGACUAGCCCUCUCCUCACUUGGUGAUAUGGAGUGAAGGAGUGAGGGGUAUCCCUCAGCCUAGGUGGCUUUAUUUGUCUGAUCCCUAUCCUGCCUGCAACCCUCACUCCAGUACCCUCUACAAUCCCAAAAGACUUAAGAAUAGCCUGGGCUAUAGGAUUUUCAGGAAUCAGGGAUGUCCCAGUAAAUCUGGGCACAAGGAAGAAAUCAUUCUUCUUCCAGUUGUGGGCUUUGAACCCUCCUGAUAGUUGAGGCAGUCAGAGACCACUGGGAAGAAAUGCAUCCUCACUCCUCUUCUAAGUCUCUGUAGGAGCUGCCAGUUCUUUUUAAAAUUAAUUCUUUCCCAAGACUUGGUUUUUGCUUUAGUUUGAUAGGGAGAGAAGGUCGUUUGCGUUCUCUUGGGGACUCAGCAGGCUGCUUCCAGCCAUCAGCCAGCAUCCCCUCUCCCUUCUGUCUGUAUCUCAGCAUCGCUACAAUUCCCUCCCACACCCCGUGUUUGUAUCAUCAGCUUUGCCGCCUUACAAAUUUAGGUGUGUCAGAGAAUGUAUGUCUCUGGCUCUUUCAUCCAAGGAAAAUAAGCAUUGAGCCCAGGCUGGGAGACAGGGCCACAGUGCAUUCCCAACAUUCUAAUAUACAUACACAGGCCAAGUAGUGAAGGGUGACAACCUUCACACCUGGGGACAAGAAGGGGCCAGGGCAUGGAACAAAGUCAGAUGUCAGGCCAGGCUGACCCUCCUCUGCCUUGUCCUUCCUUUGGGCUCCUUUUUCUGGCCAAGUUCUGCCCACUGAAGAUGGUACAAGACACUAGGGAAGGUGGCAGGGGACUGAGCUUGGAUCACCAAGGGUGGGAACUUAUUUGGUUGCAACGUGGUCUCCAAGGCUCUCUAAACUCAGGGCAACUUCUUGGCUGUACCUUAAUGGCAAAAUAGCCAUCCCUAGAUGGCCUCCAAUUACUUCCUAACCUGACUCUGUGGGAGUGUUUGAUAAGCAUUUAAGAAAACAAAUUUAAACCCCCUGAUAAUGAAGAAGGAUAAAUAUUCCAUAUCUAGGUAUGGCUGGGCUUGCUUCUAGAGAGGACUAGGGGCCAUUUGAACAGGGGGAGAAAAGUGGGAGAGAGUACCUGCAUGCACCUCCCUGCCUACUGCUGAGGCUGAGCCCUGGGCCUCAGCCUUCCCUGCCUCCUCCCUGCCCACAAUGUCUCCAUCCUAGCACUAAAUAGUGUGGUUUUCUCAGUGAAGUCUGAACAAAAUAAGAUCUGGUGAGGAAGGGAGCAUUUCCCUGUGUCAGAAGCAGGGAAAUAAUUGCCUUAUCUUUAGAGUCACAGCCCCCAAAUUAACCUCACCUCUGCAGGUUGCUUGUCUGGAGAUGGAGCCACUACAGGCGGGCCUGGGCGCCUGGAGUCGGGCAUGAAAGAAAAUAGCGCCUCAUCGCUCUUAUCUAAGCCCAGAGGUAUUUAUGAGCGUUUAUUCGUCUGAUCCGUUUGUUUGGGAAAAAGAGCAGGCGGGCAGGGCAGGCCAGAGACCGACUCCUUUCUGGAGCCAGAUCCCUACGAAUCUGUCUGUGGUUCGGUCCACCGCCCUCUGUCUGUCUCCUUGGGGGAAUAUGUAAAUACACAGCGGGCUCAGCCAUCCGCCAGUCUGGGGUGUCUCUCCCUGCCUCAAUGAGGAAGUGUGUGUUCAGAGAGAUGGAUAGAAGUGUGUACCAAUUCUUGAGUACAUAACAGAGGGAUUGUACAGAUACCCCACAGGCAGGAUUUAUAAUUGUAAUUUUCUAUGCUGUGAGUCUGCAGUCCUGUGGGCAAGCUAACACAUUCCAGCUCCCAGGAAAAUGUUUCCUAAGUUGUGUUCAGUUCGGGAGUAAAAUUCUUGAUAGGUAACCUCAGGAGGGAUAUUUGCGUGUGUGUGUGUGUGUGUGUGUGUGUGUGGUGUGGUGUGGUGUGUGUGGGAGGGUGCUGAGACAUUGUCCAGGCUUCCAAUUUCCUCUAAGCUAUAAAGCCCUCUCCCUCAGCUCUUUGAGGUGAUGAGCACCUUCUCCCACCACCCCCAACUUUGGCUGGGGUGGGGUGGGAUGAAAAUAUUUCAACUCAAUUCUCGUCCUGGACUCUGUUUCUCUGGGUUUGGGGAACAUAAAUAAAUGUUCCCAGGGGUACUGAGUGAUCACUCCCAUAGGUUGAGGGAGGCUGUUUAGAUGAGACACUUUGCCCUAAAAUCGGCCCCUCCAAAUCAAAGUACAAAGACUUCAUUUUCAUUAUGCAAAGGAGCGGCAUCCUCUUUGAUCUUUAGGGGAGUGAGCAGUAGUGCUGAACCCACUCUCCCGGUUUCCUACCCGCAGGUCCAGGGGACAACCUGAGGGCCCUGAAGUGUUUCAAUACCAUGUACCAGCUUGACUUCUCUACAUGUCCUUUGGAUUGCCCAAAAGCAAAAUCUCAGAGGGGCCAAGGACCUUCUAGGGCUGGCUCCCUCAGGGCCUCCUAUAGAGCAGCUCCUUGAGUCGGGCCUUAUAGCCACCAGAAAGUCACCUCGCCGCAGGAAAGCUAUAAAGAGCUGCUCCAGAGGCGCCGAAAGAGGGUGAGGGCUGCAGCCACAGUGUUUGUCCCCAGCACCACCAGGCCCCUUAACCUCGUCAGCUCCUCUAGCCCUCGGCCAGACUCUGGCAACACCUUGGUUUGCCUGGCACCGCAGGCAAUUUCCUGGAACCCCACCCCCACCCAGGAACGGGGACCACAGCACCUUUAAAGGAACUGCCAGAGCUUCCUCCUACGGCUUGAAAGCCCAAGCUAAUCAGUAACCCGUGAGACAGGGGCCAAUAUUCAAACGCUGCAGCAGAGGCGCAUAGCCUAGCCCUGGCCACCCCCUCUUGGGAAGGAGGUCGAGUUAAGCCGGUGUGGAGGGUCCAACAGGAACGGAAAUUACGACGGUGUGGUUCCUUAAGGAUUUGGCCCCAGUCCCACUACCAAAUUUUUCCCAAAUCAUAUUUAGGUAGACUUCGCUUGAAAAGAUCGAGAAUGGAGGAGGGGAUCGGCACUCACUUGCAGACAUCAACAGUUUCCAGAAAAUUCGGUUCAAUUCCUUCACCACGGACCCACCAACCAAGGAGCUGGCAAAACCCACUAACCAACCAGGAGAACACAGACCCGGUUUGUCUUUUGACAACCGAGUGGAACUGACGGGGCCGGCGCCUGCCCUGCGGGUCCCCUCCCUUGGCUGAGAAGAAAACCAAAUAAACCUUGAACAGCCUUGGCUUCGGAUGUCUCAAGCGGCCUCAUCCUCUCCCGCGCCUUGGUGGGGUGGGGGUGGGGAUGGCGGUGGGGGUGUCGGCUCUGAUCCCUCCACCCUUUGAUUCAGGGCCCCUGCCCGCUGGAAGCAGAAUUAGACCUUUUUAUAUAUGCCCUAGAGGAAGCCGCUUCCCUUGCCAGCCGCCAGGUUUGGGGCUAGGAUGGGCGGGGACGGGGGCAGUGGGAAAUUGGGGAUGAUGGGUGGAGGAGAGACUUCUGUUCUCUAACUCACACCGGGGAACCAAGAUCUAGCUGAGAGCGUCGGUGUGGGCCCGAAAUCCCCCGAAUCCCGUGGACCCUGCGAGGCCGGGGCUCCAGGCGUCGGGCACCUCUGGACAGUGUCGCGGGGCUUGCGGCGCCGAAGCCGCGUGUCUCCGAACGGACGGUAGAUGGCAGCAGACCGCAUAAUUUGGGUCACAGCGAACUGUCUAAGGGAGGAUUUAUAACCCUCCAAGACUACAGGAGAAAAAGACCUUUAGUAUGGGUGGGUUUGGGAAAUUUUUCCCUUGAGAAUAGUCCCCGAGUGCCGUGGGUGCUGGCGGAGAACUCUAGCUACGAAGCCCAGCGGUCCCUCCAGGCGCCCAGGCCGGGCCUGAACCUAGGGCAUCUACCUGGGGCCACAGAGCCGCCUCUUCCGCGCCACAAGUGGCAGCGUCGUCCCUCUCCUAGCUUAGGACUGAGAUAAUAAAUAUAUCCCCACUUCCAAAACGCCCCAGACCCUGUAACUCCGGGGCAACCAGAGGCCCGAGGCUGAAUGUCCUGCAUCUGGUCUUAAGAAAGAGAAAAGCAAUCACAUGUUCGUGCAAACCAGACUAAAAAUCACAAUUUCUCCUGCCCUCCACAGCCAACAUCACUUAUCUCUUGGCUGGAAGCUUCCCCAGAAGCUCCCUUACCCCAUUUUUAAGUCCUUGCCUCAAGGCUGGCACCUACUUCCACCCCACGAGCUACUUUAGGAAUCUCUGUCACCUGCCCAAUGUUCUCCGCCCUCCCCACCCCCUAGAAGGCCUGACUGAGGGAUAAAAUUGGACACCCGAGGGACGGGACUGUCUGAGCUCAGUGCCAGUUAGCUUUUCAGUUUAGACGCCGCUAGGUCCCAUAAUUGGAUUUUCUUUUUAUUUUCUUCUUUCAUUUCUUUCUCUUUUAUUUUUAUUUACAAGCCUAAAACAAAAAGGCACUUAACAGCUUCUUCACAAUCACCAUGUCUGGACCCAGGAAAGUUUGAAAUGUUAUCAUAUCAGACACACACAUGGCAAUUUUUUCCUCCACCGAAAUCCACACAUCCCAUACCAAUACAACGCAAGUAAUAGAAUCAGUAUCACGCAGAAACCAACAGCUGUAACCUACCGCAUUAAAACCACAAAACUGUCUCCCUGUAGAGCGAGGCUCCCUCCUGCGGGAGUGGCGAGAUACUUGGGCAUUCUCGGGCAGGCUUCCUGCCGUUUCCUCUCCCUCGCCGGCCUCGGCGGAGAUUCCAGGCCCUAUAGAAACCAGGACGUCCCUUAGCGCCACCGCCUCACAUGCCAGUGCUGCCGGGAACCCAGCGAUAUCCGCACCAGCGGAGAAGGUUCCAGGCUGCCGGCGGCGGCGCAGAGAGCGGGAAGAGAGGCUCGGAGGAAGCCCCGGGCGUGGCGUGGUCAGGCUCCGAGAGCGGCCGGGAUGCGGCCACACCGGCCUGGUAAACUCGCACCUCUUAGGAUCUUGCUCCCGGACUCAUUCCCUUCCCCACCCCCUAUUUUAAAGUUUUAUUUGGGUCGUCUGUAUCAAUUUAGAACGAGAUAAAUUAAGACAAAGAAAGUAAAAUAAAUCGAAAUAAAAUAUAGGAAUAGCUCUUGGCGAAAAUGUUUGCCGUGCGAGCAGGAAGCCGUGAGCGCCCUAGUUGGAGGCUGCUCUGCGCCGACUAAGAGGCCUCUACUCCCAGGCCUGGCCUCUACGCAACGCCACCCAAGAAGCCAGAGUGAAUUUGGGUGUUCAUUUUCCCUUUCCUUCCGCUCUUCCUUCAUGUGGGGCCUAGCAGCUUGGAUUUCAGCUCCGUCUUUGUGCCUGGGCUGCAGCCCAGAUCCAGAUCCCGCAGCUUGGUUUCCAGGCCUGAAUGAGGACGCGGGUUUGUGAAACUGUGAGGUUUUUGUUUUGUUGUUUUGUGAGCUUGUGUGACUAAGCAUGUGGGCUUCUGAGUGCGUUUACUUGGGGGCAAAUGUGAAUCUGUGUUUAUAAGCCAAUGUGUGAAUGUACGUUGGUAUCAAUGUGUCUGUGAGUGUGAAUGUGUGUUUACUUGUGAGCGUGUGUGAACAUGAAUGCCUA